UCGCGGCGCUGAGGAGCUAGACUGGUGAUGAGCAUCUGUUUCUGCUAACAGCUUGGCGGGCAUCACCCGUUGUUCCACCCUGUUCCAGAGGAGCAGCACAGAGGACCUGCCACUAUCAAGGUCAUGGCUCAGGUGUCAGUACUGUUCCAUGAUGUGUACAUAGACUUCUCUCAGGAGGAGUGGGAGUGCCUGACUGAGGAGCAGAGAGAUUUAUACAGAGAUGUGAUGUUGGAGAAUUACAGCAACCUGCUUUCAAUGGGUAAGGACGUCCAUCCACACUCCCUCGCAUUUGCCCUUUGCUGGGUUGUUUCCUCAAGGGUUCUCAGGAUGCUUGCCUGCUUUUGAAAAAGCCGUCAGGCCUCUGCAGCCUAGUCCCACAGAGUGUGUCAAGUAUUGCAGAGUGGCGACGGGAACCUAUGUGUGGGGGCUCGUGCCUGUAACUGCAGCACUUGGGCCGCUGAGACCGGACUGCGGCUCAUUCCAGGCCAGCCUAGGCUACAUGGGACCCACCUC
rnacentral:lncRNA from 1 species